AUAAACGGAAACGGAACAGGUGCCCCAUGGGGCUUAAUAGGGAAGUCCGGUACAAUGCCGGCGCGGUCCCGCCACUGUAACGGGGAGCAAACCCAAACGAUGUCACUGGGAUAAAAUGUCCUGGGAAGACUGGGGGAGCGAGGAACCGGAGCCAGGAGAACUGCCUGUUUAACGGUCACCGC
rnacentral:ncRNA from 2 species